GGCAAUUUUAUAACGGCUUCGAGCGCUUUUCAUCCAUUGAUAGUUUUAAUUUUCUGCUGUAAUAAUUAAUUUUUUUCUGCCUGAAGAGAAAUACUAUUGGAAAUCUUUUAAAAUCAUGGAUUACUUCUCAAGUUGGUGCAGGCCUACCAUCUGAGCUAAAAAUAUAGAUUUGGGGCAUUUAAUUCAAGACCGUACGCCCAUAUGAAAGGGUGUAGCUUUGGACCAAUGCAAACAUGAGGACCAACUGUGUAAAAGUGGAAGAGAGUUGGAUGACAGACUUCUGUGAAAGAUGUGUUUCGUCCCCGAUGAUAACAGCCCACCCAGUCAAGAGAAAAAUGUCUGAUUCCAAAGAGUGAAAUCCAAGCAACAUCUGCAGUAGAUCAAGGACAGGGUAACCACGCCCCACAAACUGCAGCUUUCAUGAAGUUUGUGGAAGGGCAGUGCUUAAUUUAAACCAAAGAACAUGGAGAACACCUAAAAAUACCCUGUCAGUAAAGGAACGGCCAAAUCAUGCAAACCAAAGGCAUCAGUGGUAGGUCAGUAUAUGUCAAAUUAACCAACACAAUCUCACUGCAAAUCGUAGCUUUUUUACCUUUUGUAGUAAUUCUGAUUCUAUGAGUUUAAUUCUAAUUCUAUGAGAACAGGAAAUUUCACACUACAAAAAAAAAAAAAGAAAAGAAAUAAGGACAAUCCAUGUGAUUAACGAUUGACAGCCAAUAAGAAUCCACCAAGCUUUAGGAUGUGUUUACAUGUCAAUUUUCAUCUAAAAAUGGAACCUUUUAUGCAUUUUGGCUGUUAAUUUACACGAAAAGGGCAUUUUGGGAGCAUGAAAAUGCAAACUUUUGAAAACGAUACCAUUAUUGUUUCUGUGUAAACUACAAAGAUGCAAAAUUGUGAAAAUGGUGACGUCAUGCACGUGCAUAAUACAUGUUUAUUCUAUAGGAAUGCUUAUGUGUGCAAAUGUGUAGCGUUUCUUUACCAGGUGACAUCACCAACUACUGGACUGGCAUGCAUUAUACAGCAUUUCGCCAUUUUU